UUCCCAGGAUGCUUCAUCCAGCAUCCUUCCUAAAACCCAAUCCCUACGGAAUAGGACCUUUACUCCAGUUCUGUGGUGACCUAAUUUCUGUAAUUUUCAGGGCCUGAGGGCAGCAAUAAGCCUUAAUUGCCCUGACCAGCUUCACCUGGGGCCACAUCCACACCUCUAACUGAGAGCCCAGGGGCUCCAUUUCAGCCUGGCCCUGAGCUAUACUGCAGAGCAUCGUGGUUUGACCCCGAAUUGACUCUGGACGUGACUCAGCACCUGACUUUACCCUGCCUGGGGGUCACUGGGUGAUGUAAGCCACUCCUUUUGGUCACCCACCUGGUGUUGCUGAAGCACUGGGGUACAGAGCCCAAGUGUGAGGGCACUGCUUGUGCUGAGCAUACACUUGGCCCUUGGCUUAGCUCCUCAUGGAACAGCUCUGCUCCUGCUGCUUUCUGACUAAUAACUUUACUUUGGAGCUUUUUAAAGGCCUUCAGGAGGCCUCUGAUAUGCUGCUGUAUCAGGACAACCACUCAGUGCCUGCCCAGUUGCUUCCUGCCUGCUUCCUCUGCCCUAAUUUUUAGGUAGCCAUCACUGGAGUAGAAACACUUUCAUGCUGUGCUUUUGAUCUGUUGCUCAAUAUAACAUCCUAACUUUUUUCUUUA